UCCAAAGAUGCUGUCAUUCCCUCUAGAUGA
rnacentral:piRNA from 1 species